GCCGCUUUAGCUCAGAGGUAGAGCACUUCCAUGGUAAGGAAGGGGUCCCGGGUUCGACUCCCGGAAGCGGCUCCG
rnacentral:tRNA from 1 species